UUUCUCUCUUUGCAGCAGGAUUAACACAAUGUGAGUGCCACAGCUGACUUCUAUCUAUACACACAAUUAGGCCAUUUCUGGCCCAAAACUGGCAGACUGGCACUAGUGGCCAAACCACUGAGACACCAAACACAACAUUCUUCAAGGCACUGUGGAUGCCUCCAAGCCAGGCUUUAUGUGAUCCAUCGGACCUGGAUCCACCACUCUCUGAGACUCUGUAAAGGACCAGAAUCUGGAACUUGGUGAAAGGCUUGCAGUCACAAAAGACUAAGAACAUCACAGACCUUUACAAUAAAAGCCUUAGAACUAAAGCUGGUACCUGACUGCAUGUUUUUAAAUAUGCCACACACCCCAAAUCUACACCCAGAUUUAUGGGUGUAUGUCUACAGCUUUUGCGUUUAGACAGGUUACUUUGCACCUUUCAAGAGGAGUCCCUGGGUGCCAUUAAUAAAGGAGCAGCUGCCUCUGGAUGCUGGCUUAGAGGCAUCCAAUAGAUCAGCAGUGUAUGAAGCAGCAAGGACAACUAAACAAGCUGGGUGAUUUUUCUGCACUAAAAAUAAACAGUGAAUAAACAUUUACA
rnacentral:lncRNA from 1 species